rnacentral:rRNA from 1 species
AACGAACGCUGGCGGCACGCCUAACACAUGCAAGUCGAACGAGAUCUUCGGGUCUAGUGGCGCACGGGUGCGUAACGCGUGGGAAUCUGCCCUUUGGUUCGGAAUAACAGUUGGAAACGACUGCUAAUACCGGAUGAUGACGAAAGUCCAAAGAUUUAUCGCCAGAGGAUGAGCCCGCGUAGGAUUAGCUAGUUGGUGUGGUAAAGGCGCACCAAGGCGACGAUCCUUAGCUGGUCUGAGAGGAUGAUCAGCCACACUGGGACUGAGACACGGCGCAGACUCCUACGGGAGGCAGCAGUGGGGAAUAUUGGACAAUGGGCGAAAGCCUGAUCCAGCAAUGCCGCGUGAGUGAUGAAGGCCUUAGGGUUGUAAAGCUCUUUUACGCGGGAUGAUAAUGACAGUACCGGGAGAAUAAGCUCCGGCUAACUCCGUGCCAGCAGCCGCGGUAA